CUCAGGGUUUCCUCACCUGUAUCAUGGGGCUCAUAUCAGCUAUUUCCCUAACAGGGUUAUUGUGAAGAUUAAGUGAAUUAGGUGAACGGUUCUUGGAAGAAUACCUGGCAUCUCAUAAGCAUUAUGUUAUAUUUUGGAAAUUCUAAACAUAUACAGGAUAGGAUCUCAUCACACAGUUUCAAAAAUCAUCAAAUGUUGACAAUCACAUUUCAUCAAUACCUCUGCUUUUGUUUUUUGGCUGGAGUAUUUUAAAGAAAAUCCCACACAUCAUGUUAUUUCAUAUCUGUUCUGUUCCUGGGCUCUGUGAACUAUGCAAGAACACAAAGACUACUAUGAAGGCCUGGGAGAAUUUCUCUCUUUUCUUCUUCCUAAGACAAAGACCAUCUUAGAGUGAG